UACGGGGGGGGCAAGCGUUGUUCGGAAUUACUGGGCGUAAAGGGCUCGUAGGCGGCCAACUAAGUCGGAUGUGAAAUCCCCAGGCUUAACCUGGGAACUGCAUCCGAUACUGGAUGGCUUGAAUCCGGGAGAGGGAUGCGGAAUUCCAGGUGUAGCGGUGAAAUGCGUAGAUAUCGAGAGGAACACCUGCGGCGAAGGCGGGUUGCUGGGCUGACACUGACGCUGAUGCGCGAAAGCCAGGGGAGCGAACGGG
rnacentral:rRNA from 1 species